GUGGGCUUACGACCUCGAUGUUGGAUCGGGAUACCCCGGUGGUGCAGCCGCUACUAAAGGUUCGUUUGUUCAACGAUUAAAAUCCCACGUGAUCUGAGUUCAGACCGGAGCAAUCCAGGUCAGUUUCUAUCUAUUAUAGCGCUAUUUUUAGUACGAAAGGACCAAAAUAGCCUGGCCUAUACCCCCAGCAAGCCAUUAUUAAUUACUCUUGACCCCCACUCAAAAAACUAUUAACCUAAUACCCCC
rnacentral:rRNA from 1 species